UGGUGGAGUGAUUUGUCUGGUUAAUUCCGUUAACGAACGAGACCUCGACCUGCUAAAUAGUUCGACUAGCUCUUCGGAGCUGGCGCGUGACUUCUUAGAGGGACUAUCGGUGUGUAGCCGGUGGAAGUUCGAGGCAAUAACA
rnacentral:rRNA from 1 species